rnacentral:rRNA from 1 species
GACGAACGCUGGCGGCGUGCCUAAUACAUGCAAGUCGAACGAACUCUGGUAUUGAUUGGUGCUUGCAUCAUGAUUUACAUUUGAGUGAGUGGCGAACUGGUGAGUAACACGUGGGAAACCUGCCCAGAAGCGGGGGAUAACACCUGGAAACAGAUGCUAAUACCGCAUAACAACUUGGACCGCAUGGUCCGAGCUUGAAAGAUGGCUUCGGCUAUCACUUUUGGAUGGUCCCGCGGCGUAUUAGCUAGAUGGUGGGGUAACGGCUCACCAUGGGAAUGAUACGUAGCCGACCUGAGAGGGUAAUCGGCCACAUUGGGACUGAGACACGGCCCAAACUCCUACGGGAGGCAGCAGUAGGGAAUCUUCCACAAUGGACGAGAGUCUGAUGGAGCAACGCCGCGUGAGUGAAGAAGGGUUUCGGCUCGUAAAACUCUGUUGUUAAAGAAGAACAUAUCUGAGAGUAACUGUUCAGGUAUUGACGGUAUUUAACCAGAAAGCCACGGCUAACUACGUGCCAGCCGCCGCAGUAA